rnacentral:lncRNA from 1 species
UCAUGAAAAGGGAUGACUGUGUUGCCUUCCUGCGCGCUGCCUGAGUCGGUGGGUGUGGGUGAUACACCAGUUUCAAAACUACGGCUUCUUUUGCUUUCAGUAGUUUUUGACAUCCCAGUUUGUAUAGGUGCAGUCAUUUUCAUAUGCUGAGACGAAACAGUUUUUCCUGACCUGUGAUUUGAAGCUUUAUGAUCAUCAAAAGGGAUGACUGUUUUGCCUGCCUGCGUGCUGCCUGAGUCGUCGGUGGGUGUGGGUGACAAACCAGUUUCAGAUCUACGGCUUCUUCUGCUUUCAGUUGUUUUUGGCAUCCCAGUUUGUACAGGUUCACUCGUUUUUAUAUGCUGAGACGAAACGGUUUCCCCUGACAUGUAAUUUGAAGCUUUAUGAUCAUCAAAAGGGAUGACUGCAGCCUGCGUGCUGCCUGAGUCGGUGGGUGUGGGUGAUACACCGGUUUCAGAACUACAGCUCCUGCUUUCAGUUGUUUUUGGCAUCCCAGUUUGUACAGGUUCACUCGUUUUUAGAUGCUGAGACGAAACGGUUUUUCCUGACCUGUAAUUUGAACCUUUAUGAUCAUCAAAAGAGAUGACUGUUCUGCCUGCCUGUGUGCUGCCUGAGUCGUCGGUGGGUGUGGGUGAUACACCAGUUUCAGAUCUACAGCUUCUUCUGCUUUCAGUUGUUUUCGGCAUCCCAGUUUGUACAGGUUCACUCAUUUUUAUAUGCUGAGACGAAACAGUUUUCCCUGACCUGUAAUUUGAAGCUUUAUGAUCAUCAAA